AGAAUUCACUACUGUAAGUUGCUCUGGAUAAGAGUGUCUGCUAAAUGACUCAAA
rfam:Salmo salar isolate Sally breed double haploid chromosome ssa01, whole genome shotgun sequence.